UCCGUGUACUUGUAUGUACUGUUACGACACGUACAUGAUGCUAUGUCAAGUGAGGUUAAGUGAAUCUCAUAUUUCUGCUUAGAUGAUGUUUAUGGAUAGUUGACAUAAGACUAAUGACGUAAGGACUAAUGACGGGAUUAUGAAUAUGUUCUGUCACUUAAGUUGAUUUUCACUCAGUUGUACUUUUUUUCUUUUAAAAAAAAAAAAAUUAGAGUUUUGAUCUUUGACAUCAGUCAGUUGUAAUAACAGUCAUAACACUAUACAGUUCACAUGACGGGGCGGUGUUCAGUGAAACUGACAGCAGAAUUGUACGCUUUAUGACCGCUGAUAUCAGUUGGAAGAAGCCUUUAUAAAUAUUUAUUUAGGUUUUCAUCAAUUGUUAUGAAGAUCUUGCGUAGGUUUCGUUUUAUUUUGUUGUUUUUUUUUGUUUGUUUGUUUGUUUUUGUUUUUUGUAUCUCAAUGAACACCAUCCUUAAGUCAAGUGUUCCCCCAAGGUUUGUUUACAUGAAAGCGUGUUUUAAAAAUGAAAUUGCCAGCUGAGGCAGGUUUUUUUGUUGUUGUUUUUGUUGUUGUUUUUUAAACUACAUUGUCAGUGUGUUUAGUUCUCCUUUACUGUCUCUAAUGUCUACAUGUCUCCGGGCUCAUGAGGCUGCUUCAAGGAGGACUAGAACUUAUUUUGAUGCUAAAUUCAGUGCUCAGCUCUGACACGCAGAGCAUCGGCGCUAUGCGUUUUCCCCGCACAACCCUACAUGUUUUACAGACCACUGUAUCGUUCACGUAUUCGGUUCCCCAGAGUCUUGGACUAACCAAAGCAAGCGCUGCAUGAGACACCAGUUCCUCAGACAUGGACCUAUUGAUGGAUAUUUUUUUUUUUUUUUUUUUUUUUAAAUAAAUGGUGAAAGAUGGUACGGAUGUAAAAGUCUAACAUAACAAAUGUAUACCAGUCAAAAACAGGAAUGCACUCUUGAUCAAAUGUGACCAUGCAUCAUUUGUACCUCUUUGCACGAAGACGCUAUAAAAUGACUUUUUGGUGUGUGUGCGUGUGUGUGUGUGUGUGUGUCUGUGUGUCUCAUUUCAGUAAACAGCAGUUCAUUUCUGCAUUGAUACACGAUACGUACCUGCUGCAAUACCAGUUCACAGACACGAGGGGUGUUUCAGACUCCUGGUUCCACCCCAGCAGUUUCCUACUUUAAUGUCUCCCUUUGAGCUUCUAUUUAUGAUAAUAUACAUUUGUACAGAAAGGGAGAAGGAAUAUUUUGCAUCAUCUGUAGUGUUGAGGACUGUAGUCUAGGUGUUGGGAAUUUUAUGGCACUCAUGCAUGAAAGCAAUAAACGGUUUUAAAGAAAAGGUUGGGUUUUUUUGUUUUUGUUUUUUUGUUCAUCUGUGCAAAGAAUUGUAAGGAUGAUGUGAGGUAAGAGUUUACUCUGAGGCGGUAGAGGAGGUCUGAUAUGACUGGACGGCUGUCACCGCUGUUCUAUCUUUAUGAAAUUUUCCUUAAAUGUAUUACUGAACUUCACGCCAUGUUUUUAACCGACAAGAUUAAGACAAGUUAGUUCCUGUUCUUACUCAUAUAGCAGCUAUAAACACUCGUUCCCUCAUCGGACUCCUUUUCUCUAAAACAAAACAAAAAUGUCGCUGGUCAUGUUGGUGAGAAACCAGAGGUCCUGUUGGGAAGAUGUUUCCACGUCCAAAAAGCUCUGACACUUCAGAAACGUUUCCUUACAGAAAACUUCACCAUAUCAACGGUUCUAUAUAUUUUUUUCUCCCUUGCUUAAAUAAAAGCACCCUUUUAAUCCUUUUAUUAGCCUUAGGUUAUGUAACAUGUCCGCAGUAUAAGAUGAUACUGUAGAACCCGAAAUGUUUUGGAGCAAGUGCUUUGAUGUAAACU
ensembl:lncRNA